rnacentral:lncRNA from 1 species
UCUCAAAACCCUAAAUCGAACUCUCUCUCUUUUUUCCUCUCUGAACGAACACGGCGAACACAGGAACUAUAAUUGAUCCAAUAAUUUUGUUCAAGACUCAUAGGAUUUGAAGUCAGAUCAUCUACGGAAAUCACAUCGGCCAGAUCAAAUUGGUGAUUUUGUGAAGAGGUAUAACUAAUCUUUUUAGUGGGACACCAAUGAAAUUUUAAGAUUUGGGAGGAUCUAAAAGGUUAUUGAAGGCUUUAAUCGGAAAUUUCUGUUUG